rnacentral:rRNA from 1 species
CUUAGUGGCGGACGGGUGAGUAACGCGUGGGUAACCUGCCUUAUACAGGGGGAUAACAGUCAGAAAUGGCUGCUAAUACCGCAUAAGACCACAGGAUUGCAUGAUCCGGUGGUAAAAACUCCGGUGGUAUGAGAUGGACCCGCGUCUGAUUAGCUAGUUGGUAAGGUAACGGCUUACCAAGGCGACGAUCAGUAGCCGGCUUGAGAGAGUGAACGGCCACAUUGGGACUGAGACACGGCCCAAACUCCUACGGGAGGCAGCAAUG